UGCCUAGGACUCUGUGUGCCUGACCUCCUC
rnacentral:piRNA from 1 species